AGCAAGUUUACAGUAAAUCUACCGGUAGGUUAAUCCACAUUAUGGCAACCCGUAAAACUACACCGUGGUCAAUCCAGGAGGUUCAGACAUUUCUGUCCUUGGUGGACGACGACAAAAUUCAGCGUGAGUUUGACGGAACAACAGGCAACGAAGGAGUUUAUCAGCAACUCUGAGCGGACGACACGGAAGUCACGCGCCGCGUCGCUAUGACGUCCAGUCUGUGACGAUCUUUGGAUAGUUUGACAUCCUACGUAAGGCUGGACCGAAAGACUUUGGAUCUUCAUUUGUCCUCAAACAAGUUUCUGGGGGUUUUUGUAUGAAUGAAUGAUGCAACAAGUUUUUCACACCUCCUUUUUGCAGUGCAUCCAUCAUACACCCUCCCAACUGUCCGUCAAGACGCUCCGCUGUCAUCUCCAACUGCUUUUGUGGAGCUCUAAUGCCAACGGACCUGAGGUGUGAGUCACACAGCACAGUUUCUGAGGUUCUGCUGUAACGUCCUGGAGGUGUGUGUGUGCGCUGCGUCUGCGCUGCUUCUAUGACAGCGAGUGGCGGGCCUGUCAUUCCUGGCCUCCUGCUUUCAUCUAGAUAAUGUCUUAUCAGGGCAGAGCAGCCUGUGCACACACACAGCGGCGGCAGCCACAUCCCUGCCCAGCUGCCCACGCUACCACACACACCUCACCCUCCACCGUCUCAGAACCUUCCACUCUGAGCUCCAUGCGUUCACCAACAUCAGCUCUGUCUGGAGGAACACUUUGAGCUUCCUCCUGCAGAUACAAACACGAAGCAUUCCCCUCCAUCUGUGAUCAUCUGCCGUUAACCUCCACCUGUCACAGAGAGCGACAGCAUUCCCAGAAUCCUCUGGGGCAUCACCAGGACAGGUGAUGUGUUCAGUUCUAGAACAGCUGGUCUGUAAAUGAACCCACAGACAUGUUCUAAGGCAGGUUAGUUCAGGUUAUACAUUCAGUCCAAUAUGAUCAGGACCAGGAAAAUAAUAAGUGAAAAAAGUCCAAUUAAAUUAGUGGUGCCAAUCACAACAAACCCCGCCCCCUUGCAUGUAUUUUACCCAUUAUAAGUAAAUGUGAGGAUUUUUUUAAAAAAAAUCAUUAAAAAUGUGAACUUUGACCUACUUUUCCCAAAAUGUAAUGACAUCUGUUAAGGGACGGCUUGAGUCUCUGGAUAAUGUGAGUCACGCAUGCAUAGAAGCAUUUAUCUCUGUUGGCCAUCUUUUAUGACUCGCUACAACAACCUCACUUGGACGAACGACUCGCUUGAUUCCCCUCCACCGCUCAGUUUCCCCCAGAUUUAGAUCAAAACGUUAAUCAGCUGAACAGACUCAGCUGUGAAAGAAACCGAAAGUAGACAUAGAAAUUGACUCUCAGAAUCACCUCUGAUCGUUAGAAACAUACUCCUUCAAUGUAAAGUCAAGUGUCUGCACUUUUACAUAAUUGGAUUUAUCCUAGUGAGGUUACCGUAGUGAGGCAUAAAAGAUGGCCGACAGAUAAAUACUUCUACGCAUGAGAAACUCACAUCAUCCAGAGACCCAAAUCUAUUCAGGGUAACUGACAGUCUAUAAACCCAAUGGGAUUAAAUGAACUGAACCAAUACUUUUGAUGCUAAAAUGUAAACAAACAAACAAACCAAACCAAAAACUGGGUUAAUUAUGAUCAUAUUUGCAUCUACAAAGUUUCCUUAAAAAUCUGAAUAAUAUGAACAACUUGAAAUGUCUGAAGGA